GCCCGGGUGGUGGAAUGGCAGACACACAGGACUUAAAAUCCUGAGGUCCCUAGGAUCGUGCGGGUUCGAGUCCCGCCCCGGGCA
rnacentral:tRNA from 1 species